rnacentral:rRNA from 1 species
UGCCAGCAGCCGCGGUAAUACAGAGGAUGCAAGCGUUAUCCGGAAUCACUGGGCGUAAAGCGAGCGUAGGCGGAUUUGUAAGUUGGAGGUGAAAUCCCAGGGCUUAACCCUGGAACUGCCUUCAAAACUACAUUUCUUGAGUUUGGUAGAGGAGAGUGGAAUUCCUAGUGUAGAGGUGAAAUUCGUAGAUAUUAGGAGGAACACCAGUGGCGAAGGCGACUCUCUGGGCCAAUACUGACGCUGAGGUUCGAAAGCGUGGGUAGCGAACAGGAUUAGAUA